rnacentral:rRNA from 1 species
GACGAACGCUGGCGGCGUGCUUAACACAUGCAAGUCGAGCGGUGAAGGCUGGCAUUUGUACCGUCUUGAAGUGGCGAGCACGGGUGUGUAACGUGUGGGGCAUCCGCCUUUGAUUGGGGGACCAUAAUUGGAAACGGACGCUUAUAGCGUAUAAACUCUUUCAACACAAGUUUUAAGGUUGAAAGUUGCCAUUUCAUCAUUCAAAGCUGAUUCCGCGUUGUAUUAGUUAGGUGGUGAGGUACAGGCUCUCCAAGGCGAGGUUACACAGCCGAGCAGAGAGGGUGAUCAGCCACAUUGGGACUGAGACACGGCCCAAACGCCUACGGGAGGCAGCAGUAGGGAAUCUUCGGCAAUGGACGAAAGUCUGACCGAGCAACGCCGCGUGAGUGAAGAAGGUUUUCGGAUCGUAAAACUCUGUUGGUAGAGAAGAAAGUGGGUGAGAGUGGGAAGCUCAUCAAGUGACGGUAACUACCCAGAAAGGGACGGCUAACUACGUG